ensembl:lncRNA
GCUUGAUGCUAUAUAUAUAUAUAUAUAUAUAUAUAUAUAUAUUACACACACACAAUGAGAAAUGGCUUUUUAGAGUUUAUCGAGUUCACUUCAUAAUGUUUCUAACUAGAUUCCAUCAGAAAUGAAGAUGGUUUAAACAAGCGUGACUGUUGCAACUUUUCUCCUUUUUUCUACAGCAAAUGACAUCUGCAGUAAGAGCAUUAGGGACUGUAGGGGUUAGAGUGUAGAGGGGGCAGGUAGCCUAGUGGUUAGAGUGUAGGGGCGGCAGGUAGCCUAGUGGUUAGAGUGUAGGGGCGGCAGGUAGCCUAGUGGUUAGAGUGUAGGGGGGGCAGGUAGUCUAGUGGUUAGAGUGUAGAGGGGGCAGGUAGCCUAGUGGUUAGAGUGUAGGGGCGGCAGGUAGCCUAGUGGUUAGAGUGUAGGGGGGCAGGUAGCCUAGUGGUUAGAGUGUAGGGGCGGCAGGUAGCCUAGUGGUUAGAGUGUAGGGCGGCAGGUAGCCUAGUGGUUAGAGUGUAGGGGCGGCAGGUAGCCUAGUGGUUAGAGUGUAGGGGCGGCAGGUAGCCUAGUGGUUAGAGUGUAGGGGCGGCAGGUAGCCUAGUGGUUAGAGUGUAGGGGCGGCAGGUAGCCUAGUGGUUAGAGUGUAGGGGCGGCAGGUAGCCUAGUGGUUAGAGUGUAGGGGCGGCAGGUAGCCUAGUGGUUAGAGUGUAGGGGCGGC